rnacentral:rRNA from 1 species
GACGAACGCUGGCGGCGUGCUUAACACAUGCAAGUCGAACGGUGAAGCGCUUGCCUUUUUGGUGGGUGUGGAUGAGUGGCGAACGGGUGAGUAACACGUGAGUAACCUGCCCUCUUCUUCUGGAUAACCUCAUGAAAGUGGGGCUAAUACGGGGUAUUCCGGGUCUGUCGCAUGGCGGGUUUGGGAAAGAUUGCGCCUUUGGGUGUUUUCGGUGGGGGACGGGCUCGCGGCCUAUCAGCUUGUUGGUGGGGUGAUGGCCUACCAAGGCGGUGACGGGUAGCCGGCCUGGGAGGGUGGACGGCCAGACUGGGACUGAGACACGGCCCAGACGCCGGCGGGAGGCAGCAGUGGGGAAUAUUGCACAAUGGGCGCAAGCCUGAUGCAGCGACGCCGCGUGAGGGAUGGAGGCCUUCGGGUUGUGAACCUCUUUCGCCAGUGAAGCAGGCCUGCUCCUGUGUGGGUGGGUUGACGGUAGCUGGAGAAGAAGCGCCGGCUAACUACGUG